rnacentral:rRNA from 2 species
AGCCCUACAGCUAGCCUGAUCACAACAAAUGCAAACUGCAGAACAGGAAUAACCCCAAAAACAGAAACACCUCAAUUAAACAAACCAUUUUACCCCUUUAGUAUCGGUGAGAGAAAAAGACACCAGAGCAACAGAACAAGUACCGCAAGGGAAUGCUGAAAGAGAGAUGACAAAGGUCGUGUAAGCAUUAAAAAGCAGAGAGCCUCUCGUACCUUUUGCAUCAUGAUUUAGCCAGAACAAGCUAAGCACAGAGUACUUCAGUUUUAGACCCCGAAACUAGGUGAGCUACUCCGAGACAGCCUUUAAAGGGCGUACCCGUCUCUGUGGCAAAAGAGUGGGAUGAGCUCCGAGUAGAGGUGACAAACCUAACGAACUUAGUUAUAGCUGGUUGCCCGGGAAAUGAGUAAAAGCUCAACCUGCCGGAUUCUCCCGUCCCUUUUCGAUUGUGUCGACCCAUGACCAAGAGAACCUGACAGAGUAAUUCAAAGGGGGUUCAGCCCCUUUGAGUGAGGAUACAACCUUAUAAGCAGGCCAAAGAUCGUAUUUACGUAAGGACUUGUGACAAUGUGGGCCUAGAAGCAGCCAUCAUUAAGAGAAAGCGUUACAGCUCAGUUACACCUGCCCCUUCCCCCUAUUAGGAUUAUAUUUCUUCAGCCCCCAAUUCUACCGGGCCCCUCCAUUCAAUUAAUGGAAGAGACCAUGCUAAAAUUAGUAAUAAGAGGGCAAGACCCUCUCCGGGCAUAAGUGUACGUCGGAACGGACCCUCACCGACAAUUAACGGCCUCAAACUGAGAGAGUAAUGAGCUACAUUGUGUUUAUCUAGAAAGCCACUCAAUUAAUCACCGUUGACCCCACACUGGAGAGCCUGCAAGGAAAGACAAAAAGAAUAAGAAGGAACUCGGCAAACUCCCCUAGCCCCGCCUGUUUACCAAAAACAUCGCCUCUUGCCCACCCCUGAUAAGAGGUCCAGCCUGCCCUGUGACCAAAAGUUCAACGGCCGCGGUAUACUGACCGUGCGAAGGUAGCGCAAUCACUUGUCCUUUAAAUGAAGACCUGUAUGAAUGGCAUUACGAGGGCUAAGCUGUCUCCUUAUUCCAGUCAAUGAAAUUGAUCUCCCCGUGCAGAAGCGGGGGUAAGAAAAUAAGACGAGAAGACCCUAUGGAGCUUUAGACAACAGAAUAGACCAUGUCAAUUAAACCCCCACAACGGACUGAACUAAUUGGAUCCUGCUCGAAUGUCUUCGGUUGGGGCGACCACGGAGAAACAAGAAACCCCCGUAUGGAGGGGAAAACUUCCUCAAACUGAGAGCGACAGCUCCAAGAAGCAGAACUUCUGACCAUAAUGAUCCGGCCAAGCCGAUUAAUGGAACUAGUUACCCUAGGGAUAACAGCGCAAUCCUCUUCAAGAGUCCCUAUCGACAAGCGGGUUUACGACCUCGAUGUUGGAUCAGGACAUCCUACUGGUGCAGCCGCUAUUAAGGGUUCGUUUGUUCAACGAUUAACAGUCCUACGUGAUCUGAGUUCAGACCGGAGUAAUCCAGGUCAGUUUCUAUCUAUUAAGUAGCCCUCUCUAGUACGAAAGGACCGGGACAGCAGGGCCAAUGUUCUCACCAUGCCCCCUCCUCACACACUGGCCACUGCUAAAGUGAACAAGGGGAUAUGUUUAAGACCCACGCAGCAGAAAACUGUAA